UAGAGUAUAGCUCAGUGGUAGAGUGCUUGCCUAGUGUGUAUGAGGCUCUGGUUUCCAUUCCCUGUGCCAUAA
rnacentral:tRNA from 1 species